GGGGGCAUAGCUCAGUUGGUAGAACGCUUGUGUCCCAUACAUAAGGUCCUGGGUUCAAUCCCCAACACCCCCC
rnacentral:tRNA from 1 species